GGAUUGGAUACCUUCUGGACAGACCUCAUAUGGCAAUACUUGAUUGGUAUCCUGGACAAUUGCCUGCCUGGCUCUUCCCAAAUCCGCUUCAGACCAUGAUUAUGUUGUAGACCUGAAACAAACAGAUGGGGGCCAUGAAGAGAGACACAGAAAUCAGGCUGAGGGAUUAAACAAGGCGUUCUAGAAGAGAUGAUUGCAUGUGAAACAAAAUUUAAAAGUCAAGUGACAAUCACAUAGAAAGAUCAUCAUGACAGCUGGGUGGAAGUAAAAAUAUUAAACUCAUGGAUCCGAGAUCUUCUAGGAGACCACAACAUGGACUGAAGGAAUGGAGCCAGAAGAGCGGGCAGUUACAAGAAAUAUUUAAAAAGUUGCUGUAUGGGAUUCGACGACAGAUUAGAUAAGAAGAGUGUGGAGAGGGAUUCUGGUUCAGAAGACGGAUGAAUAGUUUUCCCAUUGACAGGGAUCAUGAAUAUGGAAGGACACGCAGAUUUGGCGGUGUAAACAAUAUAUAAAUUGAUGCCAAGAUUUUUAGCUGAAUGGUAUUAUUUCAGUCACCAUUGCUGUAUAACAACUACCACAAAACUCAGUGGCUUAAAGCAACCAUCAUUUGUUGCCGAUUCUGUGGACUAGGAAUUCUGGCAGAACUCAGUGGAGAAGCCUGGGACAAUGUGACUGGCACUGGAGAAAUCAAAAUAGCUUCACUCCCAGAUCCGGGUCUUGGUGCUGGCUGAUAGCUGUGAUGCCUCCGUUCUCCUCUGUGUGUCCUCUCUCUUCACAUGGUCUCUCAUUUUCUUGGUCCUGACUACUCACAUGACUUCUCUCUCCAGCAGGAUAGCCUUUACUUAGUUGAGUUGCCGGGUUCCAAAGAGCAGGAGCAGAAGCUCUAAGGCUACUUUUAAGAUAUAGGCUCAAAAACUCCAGAAUAUCAUUUCCACUACAUUUGAUUGGCCAAAGAAAGUCACAAGGCCAGUUAGAUUCAAGGGAAAUACAUUCCACCUCUUGAUGUGAGGAGUGGCAAAAUCAUAGAGCAAAGGGGUGGGUACUCAGGGAGGCAUGAUUCACUGGGGACUAUUUGAAACAAUCUAACACAGUUAUGUUAAAUCAAUUUUUUUAAAGAGGAAUUCACUAAAAUCAAGAGGAUAUGACUUCUUGGUCAUGAUUUGAAAAUUUUAACAUUAACAAAAAAUAAUGUUAAUAAUAAUGAUUUCUGAACCUAAUGGUAGUUUGGCCAUUUGGUCUUUUUUCCUUUGACAAAAGUUUCUUCCUUACUUGAGUGAGAACUUGCUUUUCGUAAUUUCAGAAAAUAUAUCAUACUUGCUUCCAAAAUUUAACAAGAUUGUGUCAAUAAAUAUAUGACUAAAACUUUAAAUAUCUGAAUAGUAAUUUAUAUGAACAUAAAAUAAUGUAUUUAGUCCCUCCAAUAUUGGUAAAAAUUUAUUUAUGGUUUUUACUGUUUCAAGUAACACUGUGAUGAGCAUUUUUAGGUACAUUUAUUUGUAGUAAAUUCCAAGAAGUAUAAUUCUAAGAUAAAAGAUGUAAACACUUUAAAAUUUAGUGUCCUUCAGAAAAGAAGUUGCUUCACUGUUUUCUGGUUUUCAUGAUUUUGAUGAGAAAUCGCAGUCAUUCAGAUCUUUAUUUCCCUAUAUGUAAUGUGUCUUUUUGUUCCCUCUAGCUGUUUCCAAGGUUCUUUCCCCCAUCUUUUCCAACAAAUUAUGGUGUGUCUAGCCAAAGGCUUUCUUUGAAUUUAUCCUGUUUAGAGUUUGUUAAACUUUUUGAUUCUGUAAAUUUGUGGCUUUCACCAAAUAUAGAAAGUUUUUGGCCAUUAUGUCUUCAACUAUAUCCUUUUUUCUGUCUCUAUCUCCCUCUUCUCUUUUUAGGGUUCCAGUUACAUAACAUAUAUUCUAGAUGUUUUCACAAUGUUGCAUAGGUUCCUGAAGCUCUGGGUUUGUUAUUGUUGUUUUUAAAUUAUUUUAAGGUAUUUUUUAUUGUUAUUCAAUUACAGUUGUCCCCAUUUUCCCUCCAUUACUCUUUCCUGCCCUACCCAGCCCCCACCUCCCACAUUCAAUCAUCCCUGCCCCAACCCCCAUUGUCUUUGUCCAUGGGUCCUUUAUACAUUUUCUUUGACUUGACCCCUUCCCCUUCUUUCCCGGGGUAUCCCCCACCCCCAUCCCUUCUGCUCACUGUCGGUUUGUUCUCUUUUUCCAUCUGUUCUUCACAUUAGAUUAUUUUUAUGCUAUAGUCAAAUUUAUUAACAUUUUCCUUUGUCACUUCCAUUUUAC